UAAUACGAAGGGGGCUAGCGUUGCUCGGAAUUACUGGGCGUAAAGGGCGCGUAGGCGGACCACUCAGUCAGGCGUGAAAGCCCCGGGCUCAACCUGGGAACUGCGCUUGAGACUUGUGGUCUUGAGGGCGAGAGAGGGUGGUGGAAUUCCCAGUGUAGAGGUGAAAUUCGUAGAUAUUGGGAAGAACACCGGUGGCGAAGGCGGCCACCUGGCUCGCAUCUGACGCUGAGGCGCGAAAGCGUGGGGAGCAAACAGG
rnacentral:rRNA from 1 species